rnacentral:misc_RNA from 1 species
GAACUGCGAUACGUAGUGUGAAUUGCAGGAUUUAGUGAAUCAUCGAAUCUUUGAACGCACAUGGCGCCCGCCGGCAUCCCGGCGGGCACGCCCGUCCGAGCGUCGCUUAAACCCUCGGGCGCCUGGCCCCCCGGCAGGCCCCCGGCAUUGGGGCGGCGCCCUGCGGUACGCCGCAGGGCCCCCCUGAAACGCAGCGGCGGCAGCGCCUGCAGCGUCCCCCUGCGCAGUAGUACCACACGCCUCGCACCGGGACAGCGCGCGCGGCCCGCCCCGGAGCAAGCACACGCACGCAAGGUUGACCUCGGAUCGGGCGGGGCUACCCGCUGAACUUAA